rnacentral:rRNA from 1 species
AAAGAAACCAACAGGGAUUGCCUUAGUAGCGGCGAGUGAAGCGGCAAAAGCUCAAAUUUGAAAUCUGGCUCUUUCAGAGUCCGAGUUGUAAUUUGAAGAAGGUAUCUUUGGGUCUGGCUCUUGUCUAUGUUUCUUGGAACAGAACGUCACAGAGGGUGAGAAUCCCGUGCGAUGAGAUGAUCCAGGCCUAUGUAAAGUUCCUUCGAAGAGUCGAGUUGUUUGGGAAUGCAGCUCUAAGUGGGUGGUAAAUUCCAUCUAAAGCUAAAUAUUGGCGAGAGACCGAUAGCGAACAAGUACAGUGAUGGAAAGAUGAAAAGAACUUUGAAAAGAGAGUGAAAAAGUACGUGAAAUUGUUGAAAGGGAAGGGCUUGAGAUCAGACUUGGUAUUUUGUAUGUUACUUCUUCGGGGGUGGCCUCUACAGUUUAUCGGGCCAGCAUCAGUUUGGGCGGUAGGAGAAUUGCGUUGGAAUGUGGCACGGCUUCGGUUGUGUGUUAUAGCCNUNNNCGAUACUGCCAGCCUAGACUGAGGACUGCGGUUACCUAGGA